UAGCCUGGGCAGCAGCAGGACAACCAUGGAGCUUCUGACUGGGACUGGCCUGUGGCCUGUGGCCAUAUUUACAGUCAUCUUCAUAAUUACUGGUGGACCUGAUGUACUGGUGUCAGCACUGGACUUCUCGAUACCCACUGGGCCCUGUGCCAUGGCCUGUGCUGGGUAACCUGCUGCAGGUGGACCUAGAUAACCUGGUGUACAGUCUGUACAAGCUUCAAUAUCGCUAUGGUGAUGUGUUCAGCCUGCAGAUGGCCUGGAACCCUGUGGUCAUGAUUAACAGACUGAAGAUGGUGCAGGAACUGCUGGUGACCUGUGGAGAGGCCACUGCUGACUGACCUGAAAUACUCAGCUUUCCACCCCAGGCUAUAGCCAAAAAUGUACCUGGAGGUGUGAUUCUUGCACCUUAUGGGCCUAAGUGGAGAGAGCAGAAGUGAUUCUCUGUGUCCACCCUGUGCAACUUUGGACUAGGCAAGAAAUCUCGUGAGCAAUGGGUGACGGAGGAGGCUGGUCACCUUUGUGAUGCAUUCACCACCCAGGCUGGGAGUCUCCUCAAUCCUUACCCUCUCCUGGACAAAGCUGUGUGCAAUGUGAUUGCCUCUCUCAUUUAUGCUGGUCGCUUCGAGUAUGGAGACCCAGACUUGAUCGAGAUUCUAAAAGUUAUGAAAGAAAACAUGAGGAAGGAAAUUGGUUUGAUCCCUGAGUUCUGAAGACAUUCCCAAUUCUCACACAUCCCAGGGUUGGCUGGCAAAGUCUUCCCUGGGCAAAAGACAUUCCUCACCAUGGUGGAUAAGCUGGCGACUGAGCACAAGAGGACCUGGGAUGCUGACCAGCCACCUUGAGACUACCUCACUGAUGCCUUUCUGGAUGAGAUGGAGAAGGCAACAGGAAACCUCAAGAGUAGCUUCAAGGAUGAAAAUCUACAUCUGGUUGUCCUUGACCUGUUUGGUGCUGGGAUUGUGACCACUCCAAUCACUGUGACCUGGGCCCUGCUGCUCAUGAUCCUGCAUCUGGAUGUGCGGUGCAGAGUACAACAGAAAAUUGAUGAGGUCAUAGGCAGAGCUCUGCACCCCCAGAUGGCAGACCAGGCCCGCAUGCCCUACACUAAUGCUGCCAUCCAUGAGGUGCAACGCUUUGCAGACAUUGUCCUAAUGAACUUGCCACACAAGACUUCUUGUGACAUUGAAGUGGAGGGCUUCCUUAUCCCCAAGGGGACGACCAUCAUCCCCAACCUGUCCUCCAUGCUGAAGGAUGAGACUGUCUGGGAGCAGCCCCUCCGCUUCCAUCCUGAACACUUCCUGGAUGCCCAGAGCCACUUUGUGAAGCAUGAGGCCUUCAUGCCAUUCUCAGCAGGCCACCGAGCAUGCCUGGGGGAGCCCCUGUCCCACAUGGAGCUCUUCCUCUUCUUCACCUGCCUCCUGCAGAAUUUUAGUUUCUCAUUGCCAGCAGGAAAGUCCAGGCCCAGUGACCAUGGUAUCCAUGUAUUGCCAGUUACUCCAGAACCCUACCAGCUCUGUGCAAAAACUCGCUAG